ensembl:lncRNA
GUGUCAGUACAGAGAAGUGACAGUGAGAAUUAAAUUAAUCCCCCCCGAGAUUAAGGAUUUAAGUUAGGCUGACCAGGACUAAGACAAAAUAGAAUAUAAGAGAAUAUAAGACAAAAGAGAAUAUAAGAUCAUUUUUAUGCCUGAAAGUAGUUAGUUUGAGGGAAAAGAUUACUAAUGCCUUUGAUUAUAUAAACAUUCCUACAUACACAAGGAAAGAGCAUUAAUUUAGGGAAAAGCCAUGCUAUAUGAGAUGCCACAAUGCUUUCAACUGCUUAACUGCGUAAGAAAAUAUUAAUAUCAUUUUAAUUAAUAGGUAUUUGUGUUACAAGAACUUAGAAAAUUUCCAUUGAAAAAUGAUUACAAAUUGUGUGUAUGUGUCAGCCUCUGAAUUAUGAAUGAAUCCGGUCCUGGGCCACACAUGGUCCUAUAAGACUGUAAUCCUCAAAAGUGGUCCUGGAGCAUGUUAAUAUGAGCUCAUAUAGUAAAACAUUCCCAGAGACAGGACCACUAGUCAGUCAAGAAGUCAGUCAAGAGCAGUCUUGCGCCUCUGUUAAAUCCCCAAGCUGGAUGCCAGCACUGAUUAAUGAAUGAUUGAUUGAUUGGCUAUGCAACAGGAUGUAACGGAAAUCACAGUGGACUUGGAGUUCAAAGAUGUGGUUUAAAAUGCUGAGCGUGCGAGUUUCAGCCCUGUGAUGUGGGGAAAGCAAUUUUACCUCUCUAAGCAUCGGUUUCCUCACUUUCUAAGCAUUUAAUUCGAGUGUAGAGCCAAUUGUUGUAACAAAAGCCCUAAAUAGGAGUGGCUUAAACAAGGUAGAAGCUGAUUUCCCCUCGGCCUAAUGACAGGAUCAGAGCAGGUCCAGGCCUGAUGUGGUAGCUCUGCUGUGCAGGGAACUCAGGCUCCUUCUUAUUGUUCUCCCAUCCCCGCUGAUGGAGUCGUGCCUACAGGGUGAAAAGCGGCCCAUGAUCAUGUCUGCCGGGUUCACAUUCCAGCUGACAGGAGGAAAGAACUGGGGAGUGGAACACAUACCUGUCUCUUUUAAGGGCCCAGCCAGUGUUGCGCUGGGGGUGGCUAGCACCAGCUCAUCAGAGCCGGUUAACUUUUCAGGAAUUACAUGAGCUGGUUGUUAAACACAGCCUUUAUUAAAAAUUAAAUUACAGGGGGCUGGCCCCAUGGCCGAGUGGUUAAGUUCGCACACUCCGCUGCGGCGACCCAGGGUUCAGAUCCCGGGCGCGGACAUGGCACUGCUCGUCAGGCUACUUUGGGGUGGCGUCCCACAUGCCACAACUAGAAGGACCUGCAACUAAGAUAUACAACUAUGUACGGGCGGGGGGUGGUUUGGGGAGAUAAAGCAGGAAAAAAAAGAAAAGAAGAUUGGCAACAGUUGUUAGCUCAGGUGCCAAUCUUUAAAAAAAAAUUAAAUUACAGAAACUCACAAUUAAACAAAUUAUACUAAAAACAAGUGCAGCAGAUACUGAAAACUCAACCCUUCCUAAUUAUUUCACUAUUAUCUGUGCUCUUCUGGUCAUUUACUCCUAUUGUUUAUACAUGGAAACACUAUAUACAAUAUACUACUGCAUCUCUUGUUCUGACAGUGAAGAAACUUCCUGUUGGCAGUUGAAGCCGACCAUGGUGGGUGUAUUUAUGGUACAGAAUUGGCAAACACUGCAGUCCAGGCCUUAAUUUAUUGUUUGUUGAUUGUCUAGACCAGGAGCUGGUUAACCAGCCCACAACCUGUUUUGGUUCAAUCCUUAAACUAAGAAUGAAUUUUUUACAUUUUCAAGUACAAAAGGAAGAAAGGAGAGAAAAUAUAUGACAGACAGUACAUGGCUGCAAAGCCUUAAAUAUUUACCAGCAGGCCCUUUGCAAGAAAUGUUUCCAGAACCUGAUGGAGAAAAUAUUAAUGCAAAUGAGACUGAAAAGCUUCCUUGCUGGCUAUCAGCUGGAUGUCACCCUCAGCUUAUGGAAGCAGCCUCAUUCCUUGUCACGUGGCCCCUUCUAGCUUCAAAGCCAGCAAGGGAGACUACCCCUGAGCUGAAGGAAUCCCUCCCACACAGUGAAUCUCUCUCACCAGGAAGCGCCCAGUCCCUUGUAAGGGCUCACCCUGGAGUCAGGCCCCCUGAGGAUAAUCGCCCUCUCUUGAAGGCAGCUGUGUCGCACAGCAGACUCUAAACACGAAGUGAGAGCCCGCCAUGUUUAUAGGUCCCCCACAAUCAAGAGGACGGAUUACGCAUGGCCUUGAAUCACUGGGGUCAUCCUAGAAUUCUUCCUACUACAAAGGGAGCCUUAUAGUUUCUGCCACAUCUACCUCUUUCACUUACAUUAUUAUUUUGAGAAUUUAAUGAGAUCAAGGAUACAUAAAAACACUUUACUACAAUAUAGAAUCUACAAUGUUAAAAAGUGCUCUAUAAAGUUAAAAGUGCUAUAAAGUGCUAUAAAGCAUUGUUAUGGACCUCCAUGACUUCUCAAAUUCACAUAUCUGAAUUUCUGAUAACAGAGUUCCUUUCCAAUUCUUAGUUCAGAACCCAGGAUGGAGGCACAUCUUUGACCCCGCUUUGGUUUUGUAACUUCUUCCAAGUCACCCUGAAGAGCUUAUUGAGUCCAGCCAUAGGAUGGGGUCUGGGGACAUAGGUAACACAAAAUCCCCUCCAUGCUCUAUCUAGCAAGUUCUCUGCUUACUGAAUAAUCCUUCCUUUGGUAUCCCGAAUGCAAGAUUUUCCAUUCUUCCUUCCUCCCCUCCUCUCCUUCCUUUUCCCCCUGCCUCUCCCCCUCCUCCUCCUCUUCCUCCCUCUUUCCUUCUAUUUCUUUCACUAACAUACUUAGAAAAGUCUGUAAACAACCAAGCCAUCUAGAGUUUAGCAAUAGGAAGUUAGCAUGUACCUUUAGCCAGUUCCCAGACACUGUUUCUUUUGCCAGAGGCCAAAAGAUAAUAACAGUUAUUAAAAAUCCUCUCUGUAAUGUGUGUCUGUUGCCCUUGGUGUCCAUUCAUAAGCUGUUCAUAGAUUCUGUAAGGAAAUGUGACAAAUUCUUCUCCGAGCUGAGCCAAGCCUUUCAGCGAGAUGCUUCAUGUGCAUGAACACUAGAAUCUGAUGCUACUUUCAGCAGAGUGAUGACAUCUGACUCCAGCUUCUUUUUAAACGAAAGCAGUACUUUAAGCCUUGAUGGUUAACACGAACUUACUUCAGGUGCAGAAAUAAAGCAAUAACCAACAAGCUGUGUUUCUCACGAAGUCUGCAGAAACACUUGGAACCCACGUGCACACAGAUGCUCUAUAAAGAAAAUCCGCAACUGCUAUUUCAAAUGCCCAGGAUGUCGCCUCCACUUUAUUUUUUUUUUUUAAGAUUUUAUUUUUUUCCUUUUUCUCCCCAAAGCCCCCCGGUACAUAGUUGUAUAUUCUUCGUUGUGGGUCCUUCUAGUUGUGUCAUGUGGGACGCUGCCUCAGUGUGGUUUGAUGAGCAGUAGCCAUGUCCGUGCCCAGGAUUCGAACCAAUGAAACACUGGGCUGCCUGCAGCGGAUUGCGCGAACUUAAUCACUGGGCCACGGGGUCAGCCCCUCCACUUUAUCUUUUUAACGAGGGUAAAGCCUCCAGCCUUUGUUAAAAACAAGACAAAAGGCCCAAAUGGAGUCAGUUAUGCUAGGCCCCAUGUCAGCAAAUCAAGACUUAAUUACAGUUUUGGCUCUGCCAGAAAUGGAAUCUUACACCAGGCCAUCAGGAAUCACCUGACCAGCUCUAGAUACGUAAUCUGCCUGACAGACCCCUGCCAUCCCCUAAAGGAAAGUAACUUUGCAGUAACCAACCCGCUUUUUCGCCUGGUAAAACUUCCUUGUUCCCGCUCCCU